GGGUCAGGGUCUCAGGGUCUGCAUGGCAGUCACCAUUGUCUUGACUUGGGAAAGAAUCUGACCCCCGCAGGUAAGGGGAAGAGCCAGGGUCUACGCUCAUCUUCCGAAGGUGUUUUUCACCUCUCCAAGUCCCGGUCACUUCAUCUCUUAGAUGGGAAUCCUUCAAUCAGGGGCUUCUGCUGAGCUUAUGGUGAUUUUUCUUCUUCUAAAGGUCAGCGACUCAUUGGGGCUGAUGGUGUCCCUGCCCUGGGCAGACAGGCAGGCCUUGCUCAUGAGUCUCUGUAUCACUCAGCUCCAGGAGACUCGGAAUCUCACCAGGACGUGUCCAUCACUCUCUCAUAGCUGGUACUUGUAAAUGAAAGAGACUCGCUGUGCAGUCCCAAUCAAUGUCCGUCGGCCAUCUCUGUCGAUAACUGCUGGGCUGUCCAAUCUUUCCCCUGAUAGAAAGGCGUCCGGGGGUCAGCCUGAAGAUGCUCUGGAGGGAAGAGGCGGCUGUUUGAUUCAGAGCCUCCUCGCUGGGCUGGAAUUAACCUGGCUCUUUCUCUAAUGAAACUGACUCCAAGGGUCCCUGUGUGCUAGAGAUUCAAUGGCCCUUAGGAGAAGCAAUGAUGAGAGGUAAUAUUAAAGCAGUGUACACAUGCAGCCUCGAAUUCCUAACCACGCUGAUGAUGUUUUCGAGGUGCUUUGAGCCCUGUAGGAAGCGGCACCUGUCUGGCAUGAUGCUGAAUGCACAGUAGAAACAGUGAAUGCAGGGAGAGUAGACCCUGGGCUUCCUUUCCUAUCUAUUGAUGAAGAGAUCAGGCAUUAAGAAGCUUAGUGACUUAACCACGAUG
rnacentral:lncRNA from 1 species